rnacentral:tRNA from 1 species
GCCUCGGUGGCGGAAUUGGUAGACGCGCUGGAUUCAAAAUCCAGUUCCGAAGGGAGUGCCGGUUCGAUUCCGGCCCGAGGUACCA